rnacentral:rRNA from 1 species
UACAGAGGGUGCUAGCGUUGUUCGGAAUUACUGGGCGUAAAGGGCGCGUAGGUGGCUCUUUAAGUCAGACGUGAAAGGCCUGGGCUUAACCUAGGAACUGCGUUUGAUACUGGAGAGCUUGAAGACGGGAGAGGGAAGUGGAAUCCUAGUGGAGAGGUGAAAUUCGUAGAUAUUAGGAGGAACACCGGAGGCGAAGGCGGCUUCCUGGACCGAUCUUGACACUGAGGCGCGAAAGCGUGGGGAGCAAACAGG